rnacentral:rRNA from 1 species
UACAGAGGGUGCAAGCGUUGUUCGGAAUCAUUGGGCGUAAAGGGCGCGUAGGCGGCCAUGCGUGUCUUCCGUGAAAUCCCUCGGCUUAACUGAGGACGUGCGGAAGAAACUGCAAGGCUUGAGUCCGGGAGAGGGGGGUGGAAUUCCCAGUGUAGCGGUGAAAUGCGUAGAUAUUGGGAGGAACACCGGUGGCGAAGGCGGCCCCCUGGACCGGUACUGACGCUGAGGCGCGAAAGCGUGGGUAGCAAACGGG